AGGGACAAAUAAAAACGACAUAUUGAUAUACUUAAGAGACAUUUAAUAAUAAUUCAUAUUUUAGGAAAUAUUCUUACAACUCCAUAAGGUUAAUAUCUAUUCAAUUGAUAUAAAUAGAACAUGAGUUUUAUAAAUUAUAAAGUGAUAAAAUAAUAUUAUAUUUGAUACAUGCAAAGGCGGAAAAAAUGGUUAAAAUUGUCAUGUUUGUUUAUGUUAUGAUUAUCUGUGUUUCCCUAAUUCAUUUUGCAACAAAUGUUGAAGGCAAGACACUUUUUCUUAAUUUUUUUUUUUUAAUCUUUUUCAAAUUUAAUUAUUUACUGUUAUAAUAGUCACAUUUUUCAUGAUAUUUUUUUGUUACAGCGGGUACAUGUUUCCAAGAUUCUGAUUGUCCUCAAGACAUGUGUCAAUCUCCUUUUAAACCAAAGUGUAUUUAUAGUAACUGUGUAUGCUAUAGAAUGAUGCCAUAGAUUUUAUGAGUGCCAAAUUCAAGAGAGUACACAAACACUCUUCUAGAAUAUUUUUCAUGAGUUAUCAUCUAGUUAUUGGAUUCGCACCAAAUAAAUUUAUUUUCUUUUUCUAAUUUCAGGAACUUGUAAUUAUGACUUUCUACUUAAAGAUGAUAAAAACAAAAUGAAAUAUUGUAACAAUAGCGGUAUCCUAUGAGUAUGUUAUUGUUAAUUAUUAUACUACUUCCGU
rnacentral:lncRNA from 1 species